CGGCAAUUAAAUAUCGAUUUCUUAUUAAACCAAACUAAGAUACAUCGUGUGUGAUCUGUACAGACGAUCAAAAUACAGGACAUUGCCAUACAACUAAAUGAGAUGCAUCAGAAGACGCAAGCAAAAAUUAUCAAACAACUUUGCAGGGGUAUACCUUACUGAAUACUGUGCCACCCAGAACAUAUAAAUAGAAAGUAGUUAUGCAACUCUUCUCAACAUCUCCAGGAUAGAUUCUGGGUUCCGAAUCUCCUGGCUCUCUUGAGAAUCUUCAUUUCCUUGAGAAAAAUCAACAGUAGUAUAUGUUCUUACCCCUGGACCAUGUCCAUUACAAUCCAUCUCCCUUCCUUGUUGUGCACGUCUUACCUCCUUCUGGUGCUCAGUUAGUUCCAAUCUUUUCUUUUUGAACUCGAACACAACUUAUCUUUGUGCUCAAAUUGAUUCACUGUAUCCUCCAUGAGUUCUACUCGUUUUGAGCUCCUGCUAUGCAUUGCAGUCACCUUGUAUCUUUGAGCAGUGAACUCUGGUUUAGAAUUACAUUUUACAAGAAAUGGCAGGCUUUUCUUGUGGAGCUUUAUUUUUUCAGUUCUGGACAGCUUGUCUAAGACAUCAAGUAAUCUCUCAGGGUAAUCUAAGUUAAUCUGCUCACCAUAUGUUGAAUUCCAGAAGGUGAUGGUAAGCUCAGAAAUAAUGCAAUCUGGAUGAUCGAGAGUUUUUUCUAGGAGGGGUGCCUGAAGUUUGAGGAACAAUGAAUCAAAUACUAUUGGUGGCUGACUCCUCUUUAAACAAUCAAGGAUUUCAGCCCACAGACGUUGAAGUUGAUCAUUGGUAUUGCCAUCAUGUAUUCCUCCAUGUGACAACCACUGAACUAGUGGACAAGUUAUUAUCUCAAUAACAGAAAGAAUAGUUUGCUUCAAGUGAAGGCAUCUCACAAGACUUGUCAAUGCAGAAAAUACCCUGUAAAUACCACAGCAACAAGAGAAACAGAUAUUAUCAGGUACAAAGAGAACAACACAGCCAUGAGAAUUGGGAAAUUACCUACAUAGUCUAACCUUGAAGUUACAAGAAGAACAGUGGGUGAAUCUGAUCUUAUUUUUGCCCACGACAAAUUCAAGAAUCUGCAAAAUUGCCAAAUUAAAGAUAAAAUCAUCCCCAGGAAAAAUAAAAUCAUCCAAGUAUGCUAUUCAUAAAAUAUCAGUUUUAUCAGUUAAGCAAAUUCCACAUUGAUAACACUCAUUCAGUAUUUUUCUUUUAGAAACAAACACUUGAUUAAGGUCUUCUUGGUAAUUGAAUAGGCAAAAUUCAUUCCUAACUGUAUUGUCAUUGUGUAGAUAAUUCCACAUCAGAAGAAUUGUUCCAUUUUAAGAUGCAAUUCAAUAUAAGCUGAAUUAUUUUUAAAAUUCCCGUCCCAAACAGCACAUCACAUCUGAAAUGACAGGCUAAGAAAAACAUAUUUCAAUCAUAAUAAUUACAUAUUUCAAUCAUAAUAAUUAUAAUUACAUCAGCCUUCUAAAAUGAUUCUGUGCUGUAAUGCUUCUAAGAUAGUCACUAAUCAAGUUUCCAUCUUCUCAUUUAUUUACCUUGCAGUCUGAAAACACUUUUGAUAAAAUUAAAAGAAACGCUCAGGUAAACUUAUAGGCAAGGUUUCCCUUUGGUUUCUCAUUCUAGAUUGAGAUGGAUCAGCUACAGUGAAUAUUAAGAAGUGUGUGUAUUCAGAAAUCAGGAACAGUUUUACUCUUUUAUUUACUAAUUUAUCCAUCCACAAAUUUUUCCAAGAAUUAGUCAGUCACACGAUUACUCCUUAAAAGGGAUAUUAGAGGAUCUGAACCUGGCACCAAGACAAUCUAAGCCUUCAGUCAGAUCAAUCCUUGCAACCCUACCAUAGUUCAAUCAGGAUUUUCAUUAGGCUUUAGAAAUCAGUGGUUGCUUACCUGGAAGCAAAUCCCAAGAUAUUUCUGAUGUCACUGAAUGUUUGAGGUAUAGCAUGAUUAGUUUUGUUUCCAUCUGAACUUGUUGCCAAAACCUCAUCCAGUAUAAACGCGACAGCAUUUCCAGAUAAAGAAAGGAGAUUAAUAUUAAGAUCCUUACAACUUAAAUCUAGUUCAGUUCCACAGCCAAUCUUGCUUAGAUUUUCAUCAAUGCACCAAUUUAAAAUUGAGCACAGAUUGUCAGAGAUGCUUUUUGUUGCAAAACACUUUGAGGCAGAAAGGGCACCAUAAACUGACUUCCAUACUUCAAUAACAUGAUCAAGCUCAAGGCUUCUUUGUGCUGAAACAUGAGACUCUUCCAAGGAUCUACUAACUUUCUCAGGGAUCAGCAUUUGCUGGGGGGAAGACAAUGCAACAAAUGGGUAGGAUAAAAGAUGGAAUAUGCCAAGAUAACCAUUGCUUUCUGGCUCAAUUUUGAACAUAUAAAGAUCCUCUACACCACUGAUGCAAUCUUUUAGAGCUUCAGCUACCACAAUCCAUAUGUGUAAGUUCCUAUUAUAGUCCACAUACUUGAACAAUAAACCAAUUGCAGUUUGAAGAUUUUCCAGGGGAUCAUGUGAAAACAAUAUCAAUUUGAAAAAUUUGUGCAGCCUCUGUGAAAUUAUCUCUGCACUGAGUGCAUCAGAAGUUGACUUGAUCACCACACAGAUGCAGAGGAUAAUAAGAUAAGCCAAUGGUGAAACCAUAUCCAUAUAGGCAAUAGAGCUAAUACACAAAAUUUUUUCAUAUUUAUUAUGAUUAACUGAUUGCAAAUUCCCAAUGCAUUUGAUGUCUAGAGCUACCUUAUAAAGAGGGGAUCCCAAUAUAGAAGGUUCUAACUCGUCUAUGACAGCCUGUAGAAACUGGAUAUUAUGCUGCAGUUUAACAUUGGCGCUGCCAUCUGAAUCUACGUUUUCACAUGUCUCCUUUAAGAACCUCAAUAUUGUGUUAAAAUACAAAACAAUAUCCACAUAAUUUAUAGAUGAACUCUUUAACUCCAUUUGGAUCCCUUGUAAAAGAGAUAUAAAUAUCCUUAAGGCAGCAUCACUUGCUGAACUUCUAUUUUGGAGGGUGGCCUUUGCAACUGAUGCAUGGGUGAGAAUAACAUUAAUCAUCUUUAUAAAGAAGUCCAACUGACUAAUGUCCCAUGGAUACCAUUUAAUAGAAUGUUGUUUCACUAAGCAUUUGCCAGAUAUUGAAGGUCCUAGUAUAGACGUUCUGACUGAUGAAUGAUGGCUUACCUGGCUACUGGUAUCAUAGUCCACUUUUCUACAUUUUGCUAUCACAAAAUCAUCAAGCAGAUCUAAACAAAAACUCCACAACCAGAUAGUUUUUGUAUCAGGCCCCAUUCCAAAAACUGCUUCAAAAACAGGAUCCAGCACCAGUUCAAUUACCAAUGGGUGGUUGAUAGAGAGAUCAAGUUUAUGUAGCAGAUAACACCAUGUGUUCAAGCAGGAUAAGUGAACUGAAAUAUCACAUUUGCUAGAGAUGAUGCCAGUUAGAGGUGUCAUUAAGAGCUUUAUGCUUUUUGAAAAUGUACUUGCUUGGAAUUGACAACCAUCAUCAGCAACUUCAUCAGUUUCACAAGUUAGCAAUGGAGGCUGAAUAAGAGCAUCAACAAGACCUUCCCAUGCAGCCUGUGAAGUGAUCUGUACUUGUGGGCUGUGAUCAGAAAAUGUCUGCUCAGGAAUUUUGAGCAUAUCAUUAAUUAAACGCCUGUUCUUCAGAGCCUGGGAUCCCAGCAAGCGGAUAAACCAUCCCCAUGCUUGCAAUGUUUGAACUUUCAUACCCUGGUUCAGAAGACCCUUCAUCCCAGUGAGCAAUUUCAAUUUCAUAUCUUUGACAAGUGCCUUAGAGAGAUCCGUGGGAGGAGGAAUUAUUGCAGAUUUGAUCUUCAAUAGACACCUUUCUGAUAUAUCCCUUUCUCUCUUAUCCAUGCUGAGAAGUCUUCUAUAUAUUGGAGGAGCCCAUAUGUGCGAAGAUUCUCUCAUCUUCUCACUAAAUUGAGCUGCCAACUUUAUUACGACCUGUAUAGCCUCAAAUGUUGUAGACAAGGAUCCAAAUGGAUUGUCAAGGGCAUGAACAACUGCCCACAGCACAGAAUGGAAGUGAUUAGCUAGAAAAAAGGCAUUGAAUUGUUGCAUGGAUAUGCACCACACGCCUAAAUUACAAACUGACUUUAUUUUUGUGGCUAUAAUGACUUUAGCCAGUGCCUCCAGGAUCACGUUAGCAUCAUCAUCUGGGAUUGUAGCAACAAUAGAAGGAUGGUAGAUGAAGAAUCCCAAACACUUCAAAGCCUGUGAAGCAAUUUCUUCAUCAUCAUUUGAGAUAUCAACCGAAAUGAUAGAGAUGAGAGUCUGAGAACUAUUAGCUAGGGUUUGUAUUGAAGAAGGAUGGUUGAUUGAUUGUUGUUGGAGAAGGAGGAGAGUAGAGUAAGCGAGUGAUUUGCUUGCUUUGGAGUUUGAAUGAAUUAGGGAUUUGAUUUCCUCUAUCUGAUCAGAAAAACUCGACAUUGUCCGUACACAGAGAGAGAGAGAGAGCUCGGGAGAGAGGCGGAGGACCCUGAGUUUAGCGCGCCG
rnacentral:misc_RNA from 1 species